rnacentral:lncRNA from 12 species
CCCCCGGCCAAAGUGACCUGCGGUGAGUGCUGGGCAAACUGGGACAAACUGGGCAAACUGGGAGGGACUGGGAUAGACUGGGACGGACUGGGAUAGACUGGGAGGGGAUUGGGAGGGACUGGGAUGGUCUGUCCCCGCAGUGUCCCCAGUGUCCCCAGUGUCCCCAGUCCCUGACUCUCCCCAGUGUCCCCAGUGUCCCCAGUGUCCCCAGUCCCUGACUCUCCCCGGUGUCCCCAGUCCCUGACUGUCCCCUCUGUCCCCGCAGUGUCCCCAGUGUCCCCAGUGUCCCCAGUCCCUGACUCUCCCCGGUGUCCCCAGUCCCUGACUGUCCCCUCUGUCCCCGCAGUGUCCCCAGUGUCCCCAGUGUCCCCAGUCCCUGACUCUCCCCGGUGUCCCCAGUCCCUGACUGUCCCCUCUGUCCCCGCAGUGUCCCCAGUGUCCCCAGUGUCCCCAGUCCCUGACUCUCCCCGGUGUCCCCAGUCCCUGACUGUCCCCUCUGUCCCCGCAGUGUCCCCAGUGUCCCCAGUGUCCCCAGUCCCUGACUCUCCCCGGUGUCCCCAGUCCCUGACUGUCCCCUCUGUCCCCGCAGUGUCCCCAGUGUCCCCAGUGUCCCCAGUCCCUGACUCUCCCCGGUGUCCCCAGUCCCUGACUGUCCCCUCUGUCCCCGCAGUGUCCCCAGUGUCCCCAGUGUCCCCAGUCCCUGACUCUCCCCGGUGUCCCCAGUCCCUGACUGUCCCCUAGCUCGGUGUCCCCUGUGUCCCCUGUGUGUCACCUGUGUCACCUGUGUCCCUGUGUGUCACCUGUGUCCCCCGUGUCAGCCCCGCCCUGCUCUGUGUCCCCUGUGCCACUGUCCAGUUCCCUGCCACCCGCCUGUUGUCACCUUUGUCCCUCCUGCCACGUCACCCCAGUGUCACCCCAGUGUCACCCCAGUGUCACCCCGGGGGGGGGGGGGGGGGGGGGGGGGGGGGGGGGGGGGGGGGGGGGGGGGGGGG